UCCUGGCUCAGAUUGAACGCUGGCGGCAUGCCUUACACAUGCAAGUCGAACGGCAGCACGGGAGCAAUCCUGGUGGCGAGUGGCGAACGGGUGAGUAAUAUAUCGGAACGUGCCCAGUCGUGGGGGAUAACGUAGCGAAAGCUACGCUAAUACCGCAUACGAUCUAUGGAUGAAAGCGGGGGAUCGCAAGACCUCGCGCGAUUGGAGCGGCCGAUAUCAGAUUAGGUAGUUGGUGGGGUAAAAGCCUACCAAGCCUUCGAUCUGUAGCUGGUCUGAGAGGACGACCAGCCACACUGGAACUGAGACACGGUCCAGACUCCUACGGGAGGCAGCAGUGGGGAAUUUUGGACAAUGGGNGCAAGCCUGAUCCAGCAAUGCCGCGUGCAGGAUGAAGGCCUUCGGGUUGUAAACUGCUUUUGUACGGAACGAAACGGCUCUUUCUAAUAAAGGGAGCUAAUGACGGUACCGUAAGAAUAAGCACCGGCUAACUACGUG
rnacentral:rRNA from 1 species